AGAGUUUGAUCAUGGCUCAGAGUGAACGCUGGCGGCAGGCCUAAUACAUGCAAGUCGAACGGCAGCACAGCAGAGCUUGCUCUGUGGGUGGCGAGUGGCGGACGGGUGAGGAAUACGUGGGAAUCUGCCCAGCCGUGGGGGAUAACGUAGGGAAACUUACGCUAAUACCGCAUGCGCCCUUCGGGGGAAAGCCGGGGACCUUCGGGCCUGGCGCGAUUGGAUGAGCCCACGUCGGAUUAGCUAGUUGGCGGGGUAAAGGCCCACCAAGGCGACGAUCCGUAGCUGGUCUGAGAGGAUGAUCAGCCACACUGGAACUGAGACACGGUCCAGACUCCUACGGGAGGCAGCAGUAGGGAAUAUUGGACAAUGGGCGCAAGCCUGAUCCAGCCAUGCCGCGUGAGUGAAGAAGGCCCUCGGGUUGUAAGGCUCUUUUGUCCGGAAAGAAAAGCGCCGGGUUAAUACCCUGGUGUCCUGACGGUACCGGAAGAAUAAGCACCGGCUAACUUCGUG
rnacentral:rRNA from 1 species